CACGGCGUGAGUCAACCUCCUCCGGCCAGGCGAUGAAACGGCGAUCGGACCAACCAGUGGCAACAACAAAGGCGAAGUCCGCAUUAAUUCGCUGUUUCAACUGUCAGCGAUACGGUACCCACAAGAGUCGAGAGUGUCCUUACGAGAGGAGGGAGAGAUGUCGAAAAUGUGGGAGACCAGGACAUGAGGCGUCAACCUGUAACCCCCAAGCAGACUCCACGGCGGUGAAAGGCGCGAACCCACAGGAAGGCCGAAUGUUACGACCAAAAUCAGCCAGGCGCUGAUUAAGGACACGGCGGGAAUCGAGGCGGCGCGAUAGACACAACAACCAGGCGAUGAGCGGUGAGACGGCGCGGCAGCAGUGUCGAAUCAACGGCGACACGGUGGUUGUGUGCUUUUACUUUGUAUUUAAAACUUUCUUGAAAAUAAAGUUAUUUCGAAAAAGUC